AGAAAACAAGUGCCUUGAUCAUUUCUAAUUGCUUCCACAUAUUCACAAUAAUAAAAGACAAAGCAUGAAUCAAAUGAAUCAACAAAGCUUAUUAGAAUCCAGCAUUUAAGUGUAAAAUGGAGGUUUCCUCACAAUUUGUGGUUUUAAGUCCUAGAUGAAACAUUCAUUCAAUUAUGUUGCAAAAAGACAAUAUUCAAUUACAAAAAAGAGUAAAGUUCUU
rnacentral:lncRNA from 1 species